rnacentral:rRNA from 1 species
UGGGGAAUAUUGGACAAUGGGCGAAAGCCUGAUCCAGCCAUGCCGCGUGUGUGAAGAAGGUCUUCGGAUUGUAAAGCACUUUAAGUUGGGAGGAAGGGCAUUAACCUAAUACGUUAGUGUUUUGACGUUACCGACAGAAUAAGCACCGGCUAACUCUGUGCCAGCAGCCGCGGUCAUACAGAGGGUGCAAGUGUUAAUCGGAAUUACUGGGCGUAAAGCGCGCGUAGGUGGUUUGUUAAGUUGGAUGUGAAAUCCCCGGGCUCAACCUGGGAACUGCAUUCAAAACUGACUGACUAGAGUAUGGUAGAGGGUGGUGGAAUUUCCUGUGUAGCGGUGAAAUGCGUAGAUAUAGGAAGGAACACCAGUGGCGAAGGCGACCACCUGGACUAAUACUGACACUGAGGUGCGAAAGCGUGGGGAGCAAACA